GACGAACGCUGGCGGCGUGCCUAAUACAUGCAAGUCGAGCGAAGUGGAGAGAGCUUGCUCUCAAAACUUAGCGGCGAACGGGUGAGUAACACGUGGGCAACCUGCCUGACAGACUGGGAUAACUUGGGGAAACUCAAGCUAAUACCGGAUAAGAUCGCGAACCGCAUGGGACGCGAUGGAAAGUCUGAACGACACUGUCAGAUGGGCCCGCGGCGCAUUAGCUAGUUGGUGGGGUAAUGGCCUACCAAGGCGACGAUGCGUAGCCGACCUGAGAGGGUGACCGGCCACACUGGGACUGAGACACGGCCCAGACUCCUACGGGAGGCAGCAGUAGGGAAUCUUCCACAAUGGGCGAAAGCCUGAUGGAGCAACGCCGCGUGAGUGAUGAAGGUUUUCGGAUCGUAAAACUCUGUUGUUAGGGAAGAACACCCGGGAGAGGAUCCCGGUUUGACGGUACCUAACGAGGAAGCCCCGGCUAACUACGUGCCAGCCGCCGCGGUAAAAC
rnacentral:rRNA from 1 species